UGAGGGGAGAGCUGGGGGUGUGGUGUGGGGUGCACUGCAGUGGAGCGAUGUGGGAGGUGCAGUGUGUGGGAGAGUUGGGGGUGCAGUGUGUGGGGUGCACUGCGGGGGGGAGCGGGGGGCACAGUGUAUGGGAUGCAGUAUCGGGGGGGAGCUGGGGUCCCACACAAGCAGCCUGGCUUGGGCCGUACCUUUGGGGGAGGUGUCAGGAGCCCGUAGACCCGCAGUGCAGUGGGGUGUGUGGGUGUGGGGUGCGCAGAGCAGGGAGGUGCUGGGGGCACAGGGUGUGGGGCAGCGGGAGAGCCGAGGUGGGGGGCUGAGGGUGGAGAGGGGCGAGCGUCGAGGCGAGGAAGGGAUGCGUGGCCCAGGAGGGUGGGCUGGGUGGGCUGGCUGCGCAAGCGUGGCGCAUCAGCCGGCCCAGGGACAUUUGUCUGCCUUGUGCCUUUGUCCUGGGUUUUCUCUGAACUUUGUUAUCAUAGAAUUUCCUGCCGGGGUUUAGCUACGAAGAAGCCACAACCUUUAAUCAUGACUGAGAGUCAUUAAGUUUGCAAUUGACGGUUUGAUUCAUCAGGUGUUCCUGCUGACCACAAAGUGGCUGCUUAGUCUACGCCCCCUCCUAGGUGGCUGGACUGGAAGAUCUUUCUGCCUCAUGGUGAGAAUCCUGUUCCUGCAGUUCAGUUAUCCUGUGUUUGGUCCUUUUAGAUAGCAAGAUGCUCCUCCUGGAAGGUGCCCUGUCUUGUUACGGUCAUAGGCACAUGACUGCCAAGCGUGGUUCCCAGCCGAUCUCUUGGGUUCUUGCUGUGAAAACGGUCCAGCGUCUGAAGUUGAUUAGUUACGCUAGAAGUGCUAUUAUGGCAAAAGCCUCUUCGGGCUGACGGAUAGUCAGGAUACAGCUUCUGUGGACUCAGUGCGCCGAGGUCUCUGUUUACUGACAUGUAAAGUGGAUUAGAGAUUGUAAACACCCUUAAUUCUAGGAAAGCAGAACUGACUUGUGAAAAAUGGGUCAACUGUGUAUUUUGGGCUGUGUAAAUUGUAAAUCAUACUUAAGUAUCUUGUUUGUUUAUCAGCUGAAGUGAUUCUCAAAUUGCAUUGUAAAAGUGGCUUCUACCUGUUUGGAGCAGAGUGAUGCGGCUCCUGAUUUCCUUCCUCUUUCCCUGUUUGCCCCUCUUGACCAUGGGAAGAUGGGUGCGCCCAGGUUUGCUUAUCAAUUGCCCCUUUGAUUUUCCUACAACUUAAAGCUGCUGUGAGCCUUUUAAAUAGCAGCUGAGAACUCAGUGCCAAGGCAAAGAGGGCACUCAAACAUCCUAGCCAGGAGGUGUUGGUAUUACGUGGGCAUGUUUUUAACCCGGAGUUGUUUUACCAGAAGAGUUUUGCCCACUAACUGGGCAAAUGUUUUCACGUAAAAGUGAGUGAUGUCAGAUAGCUUGUCUCUUCCAAGCACUUCACGUGUGCCUCGCAGGUAAGCCCACGGAGGGACGUGGGCAGCGUGACGGCUGCUGUGGGCCUGCCGUGCCCCAGGAGGGGUGCAGAGGGGCUCGCGGGCACGGUUGGUGCCUGCGUGGGGGCUGCAGCGCUGCGAAGCCCUUGCGGGGUGCUGGGUGCUGGUGCACUGCUGUCGCCUCGGACAGCCGCGAGUACGUUCCCCAGCAAUCCCCAGGAUGGUGAGCAGGGCUGGCUCUGUUGCUUGUCCCCUGCAGGAGGACCUGCCUCUCCUUUGUGAGCACGUGGGACGAGUUACGGGGAGGUACUGGGCCAAAUCCCGCAAAGGCUGCCUUCUCCCGGCAGCACAGCCUAAAUACCCAUCCGAAUGAAUGGAGAAGUCGGGUUCUGCCUGCAUUGCUGCUAUAGUCAACUCUCGCAGGCUGGCAGCACCACGUGUGUGAAGUUCUGUGUGUGGACAAGAAAUAAGAUCAGGGCAAAACCUCCUAACCAGCCCAGGUGUAGCUCUGCAGGGACAGUGUCCUUCUAUACUCAGCCAUGGUUAUUUCAUGUCUCUGGGACCUUCUCAUGCUUAGAAAAUACUCAGAGAAAUAGAGGGAGCACAUGCUGUGGAAGCAGGAGCCAGGGACGUGUGCCACAGCCCGGUGAGGCAGGCUGACAUCCUGCAGCUCGAGUCGGAAGAGAUUUGCAUCGAGUUGCUGCCAGAUGGACCACUGAAUUGCUGCAGUCCUAAAGUCAGCUUGUGUUAUGUUUGCCCGAGGGUGUCUGUAGCUGACAGCUUCUUUCCAAGCCAAGAUGCUCACUGGUUCAUGAUCUUGCCACCCUUUUAUUUUAAAGGAGCUGCAGUUGCCUCGAUUGGAUGCUGGCCCAGCUUUGCUGUUUCUGGAGCAGGCUGGGGUCUUUCAAAGCCAGCUGCAUUUCAGACUAGAUGAGCCUUUUGGUUCUUGACCAAAUCUUUCUGCUCGGGUUAGGCUGAACACCCCAUUUGGUGCUACGUGACUCAGUGGCAGCAGUUCUUCGGGGAGAGCCCUUGAAUGCAGCCCUCAAGCCUUUACUCCCUUGUCCCUGGGCCCUUGGAGCUGUGAUUUACCCCAGCUCUCCAAGCACACUCCAUUUAUUUUCCUUCCCCUGCUGGGAAGGAGGUUGCGAGCAAAGUGCUUUGGCCACUACUGUGGUUCUGUGAUUUUUGUAAAUAAAACCUUACUGUUAAAGCAUGA